AACGAACGCUGGCGGCAUGCCUAACACAUGCAAGUCGAACGAAGGCUUCGGCCUUAGUGGCGCACGGGUGCGUAACGCGUGGGAAUCUGCCCUUAGGUUCGGAAUAACAGUUAGAAAUGACUGCUAAUACCGGAUGAUGACGUAAGUCCAAAGAUUUGUCGCCUAGGGAUGAGCCCGCGUAGGAUUAGCUAGUUGGUGUGGUAAAGGCGCACCAAGGCGACGAUCCUUAGCUGGUCUGAGAGGAUGAUCAGCCACACUGGGACUGAGACACGGCCCAGACUCCUACGGGAGGCAGCAGUGGGGAAUAUUGGACAAUGGGCGCAAGCCUGAUCCAGCAAUGCCGCGUGAGUGAUGAAGGCCUUAGGGUUGUAAAGCUCUUUUACCCGGGAUGAUAAUGACAGUACCGGGAGAAUAAGCCCCGGCUAACUCCGGGCCAGCCGCCGCAGUAA
rnacentral:rRNA from 1 species